AGNCAACCUGCUAAUUCGGAAGCCCUCGCCGAGGAUGUAUUCAUUCAUCAAGAACGAAAGUUAGGGUUUCGAAAACGAUCCGAUACCGUCGCGGUUUUAACCAUAAACAAUGCCGCCAGGAGAUCGGCCAAUGUAUUUAUGACCUUACGGGCACCUUACAAAAAACUAAAUUCUUUGGGUUCUGGGGGGAGUAUGGUCCCAAGGCUCAAACUUAAAGAAAUUGACGGAAGGGCACCCCCAGGAUUGGACCCUGCGGCUUAAUUUGACUCAACACGGGAAACCUCACCAGGCCCAAACACAAUAAGGAUUGACAGAUUGAGAGCUCUUUCUGGAUUUAGUGGGUGGGGGUGCAUGGCCGUUCUAAGUUGGGGGAUUGAUUUGUCUGCUUAAUUCCGAUAACGAACGAGACUUUAACCUGCUAAAUACUCAGCCUAGGCUCUUGGUGGUUGCUACUUCUUAAAGGGACUAUCGGCGUCAAGCCGGAUGAAGUUGAGCAAUAACAGGUCUGUGAUGCCCUUAGAUGUUCUGG
rnacentral:rRNA from 1 species